GCGCUCGCCCCGCCUGGGGAACCGGGGCCUCUCCCGGGCAGGCUCGCCUUUGUCCCGGGACUCUGGGCGCCUCCUCUCCGCCCUCGCCCUGCCCCGUGAGGCCGCCACUGGGCGCCUCACCGUGAUGUUGCAGUGGAGCGUGAGCUGCGGCGGCGGCUCCUGGUUCUUGUGGAAGAUAGAGGCCAACAACUUCAGCUUGGCCUUGAACCCUCACACGGACAUUUUACUCUCACCUCUGGCGGGAGGGGCGCGGAAGCACCAACCAUGUGCCUAGAGCUAACUGUGUUAAGAAGAGCAUGCUUCAAGUGGCUGGAGUGAGCAAUUCAACUUGUGGAGGAAUGAGAAGUGACAGUGUUGAGACAAGCAACAUAAAACCCCAGGGUAAGGUAGAAAUCACUGAAAGUCAGGCAAAGGAACUGGCGUCCAGUAAUGAGUCAGGCUUUGCCAGCCUCUGGCCCUACAGAUGGCUCUUUGCAGAGGAAAAAAUUAAGCCAGGCCCGAGGGCACAGAUCCUAAGGGAAUGCUGGCAGCUCUAGGCUGUCUAUG
ensembl:lncRNA novel transcript